GGAAGGAUCAUUAUUGAAUGAACUUGGUGUGGUUGUUGCUGGCCCUCUCGGGGGCAUGUGCACACCCACCAUCCUCAUCUCUCCACCUGUGCACCUCUUGUAGACCUGGAUAGACUUUCCGAGGCAACUCGGUCGGGAAGAUUGCUGCGCUCUGUGAGCCAGCUUUCUUUGCAUGUCCAGGCCUAUGUUUUUCAUAUACCCCUAUAGAAUGUAACAGAAUGUAUCAUUGGGCCUUGUGCCUAUAAACCUUAUACAACUUUCAGCAACGGAUCUCUUGGCUCUCGCAUCGAUGAAGAACGCAGCGAAAUGCGAUAAGUAAUGUGAAUUGCAGAAUUCAGUGAAUCAUCGAAUCUUUGAACGCACCUUGCGCUCCUUGGUAUUCCGAGGAGCAUGCCUGUUUGAGUGUCAUUAAAUUCUCAACCUUAUUAGCUUUUGUUGAUAAUGGAUUGGAUGUGGGGGUUUAUUUGCUGGCUUCUUCACAGAGAUCAGCUCCCCUUAAAUGCAUUAGCUGGUGCCCCGCGUGGACCAUCUAUUGGUGUGAUAAUUAUCUACGCCGUGGAUGUCUGCAAUCAUAUGGGUUUUGCACUGCUUCUAACCGUCUGUUCAUUCGGACAAUACAUGACAAUUUGACCUCAAAUCAGGUAGGACUACCCGCUGAACUUAAGCAUAUCAAUAAGCGGAGGAAAAGAAACUAACAAGGAUUCCCCUAGUAACUGCGAGUGAAGCGGGAAAAGCUCAAAUUUAAAAUCUGGCGGUCUCCGGCCGUCCGAGUUGUAAUCUAGAGAAGUGUUAUCCGCGCUGGACCGUGUACAAGUCUCCUGGAAUGGAGCGUCAUAGAGGGUGAGAAUCCCGUCUUUGACACGGACUGCCAGGGCUUUGUGAUGCGCUCUCAAAGAGUCGAGUUGUUUGGGAAUGCAGCUCAAAAUGGGUGGUAAAUUCCAUCUAAAGCUAAAUAUUGGCGAGAGACCGAUAGCGA
rnacentral:rRNA from 1 species